rnacentral:rRNA from 1 species
UGAGUAAUGUCUGGGAAACUGCCUGAUGGAGGGGGAUAACUACUGGAAACGGUAGCUAAUACCGCAUAACGUCUUCGGACCAAAGUGGGGGACCUUCGGGCCUCACGCCAUCAGAUGCGCCCAGAUGGGAUUAGCUAGUAGGUNNGGUAAUGGCUCACCUAGGCGACGAUCCCUAGCUGGUCUGAGAGGAUGACCAGCCACACUGGAACUGAGACACGGUCCAGACUCCUACGGGAGGCAGCAGUGGGGAAUAUUGCACAAUGGGCGCAAGCCUGAUGCAGCCAUGCCGCGUGUGUGAAGAAGGCCUUCGGGUUGUAAAGCACUUUCAGCGAGGAGGAAGGGUUCAGUGUUAAUAGCACUGUUCAUUGACGUUACUCGCAGAAGAAGCACCGGCUAACUCCGUGCCAGCAGCCGCGGUAAUACGGAGGGUGCAAGCGUUAAUCGGAAUUACUGGGCGUAAAGCGCACGCAGGCGGUUUGUUAAGUCAGAUGUGAAAUCCCCGCGCUUAACGUGGGAACUGCAUUUGAAACUGGCAAGCUAGAGUCUUG